rnacentral:rRNA from 1 species
AUGAGAUUUGCACAAGAGCAAGAAAGUUAUAGGAAGGAUGUGGAGCGUGCCUUUGGUAUUCUGCAAUCUCGAUGGGGCAUCGUUCGGUAUCCUGCUAGAACUUGGAGUAUCAGGAAGUUGUGGGAGGUGAUGACUGCUUGUAUGAUCAUGCACAGUAUGACCGUAGAGGAUGAGUGCUCGAAAUGUAUCUACGACCAAGGGUUUCAGUUUCAAGGUGACAAUGUUGUACCUGAGCAUGGAGGAGCGGCAAUGUUUGCACAAUUCACCCAAUUUCAUCAUCAAAUGCGUGAUUGGAAAACUCAUAUUCAGUUGCAAGAUGAUUUGGUUGAGCAUAUUUAG